rnacentral:rRNA from 1 species
CAAUAGCGUAUAUUAAAGUUGUUGCAGUUAAAAGCUCGUAGUUGGAUUUCUGUUCUCGAGGAUCGGUCCGCCUCACGGUGAGCACUGGUUUUUCUUGGGGACAUCCUCUCGAAGGCGGGUGGUGCACUUAAUUGUGUGCUGCUUGGAUUCGGGACCUUUACUUUGAAAAAUUAGAGUGUUCAAAGCAGGCGUCGGCUUGAAUACAUUAGCAUGGAAUAAUGGAAUAGGACUUUGGUUCUAUUUUGUUGGUUUCUAGGACCGAAGUAAUGAUUAAUAGGGACAGUUGGGGGCAUUAGUAUUUAAUUGUCAGAGGUGAAAUUCUUGGAUUUAUGAAAGACUAACUACUGCGAAAGCAUUUGCCAAGGAUGUUUUCAUUAAUCAAGAACGAAAGUUAGGGGAUCGAAGACGAUCAGAUACCAU